GGGGGUGACUGGUUUCGACAUGAUAGCUUGAGCGAAAGGCAGCAAGCCGUGGUCUCCUCGCCACGUUAAACAGGGGUACAGCCAAUUAACUGGCAAAGUUGUUUCUUUCAAGGGCGCGCAGCGUCAGCAGCUCGCCCUGGCUGCCUAAUUUAGGUUCAGCCCUCCCAACCUGCAGUUAAAUCCCUGACUGCAGCACGGGAUCAUUUUCAGGGGAUUGCUCUUGCGGACGUAGUCGGUAUGCCGCAAGCUAAGAUGAACCGGCGGAAGCGCAGCGUGCUUGUCGUUGUGCAAGGUGCGUUUCCUAUGCAAACAGCGACUGAGCUUGGAGACACCUUUCGUGGGGCUACCGUGGACCGGAGUUCAAUUCUCCGCACCUCCACCA
rnacentral:tmRNA from 1 species